UACAGAGGGUGCAAGCGUUGUUCGGAAUUACUGGGCGUAAAGCGCGUGUAGGCGGCGUCAUAAGUCGGAUGUGAAAUCCCUCAGCUUAACUGCGGAAGUGCAUCCGAUACUGUGUCGCUUGAGUGCCGGAGGGGAUGGUGGAAUUCCCGGUGUAGAGGUGAAAUUCGUAGAUAUCGGGAGGAACACCUGUGGCGAAGGCGACCAUCUGGACGGUGACUGACGCUGAGACGCGAAAGCGUGGGUAGCAAACAGG
rnacentral:rRNA from 1 species